rnacentral:rRNA from 1 species
AUACGUAGGGUGCGAGCGUUGUCCGGAAUUACUGGGCGUAAAGAGCUCGUAGGUGGUUUGUCGCGUCGUCUGUGAAAUUCCGGGGCUUAACUCCGGGCGUGCAGGCGAUACGGGCAUAACUUGAGUACUGUAGGGGAGACUGGAAUUCUUGGUGUAGCGGUGAAAUGCGCAGAUAUCAGGAGGAACACCGGUGGCGAAGGCGGGUCUCUGGGCAGUAACUGACGCUGAGGAGCGAAAGCAUGGGUAGCGAACAGGAUUAGAUACCCUGGUAGUCCAUGCCGUAAACGGUGGGCGCUAGGUGUAGGGGUCUUCCACGACUUCUGUGCCGUAGCUAACGCAUUAAGCGCCCCGCCUGGGGAGUACGGCCGCAAGGCUAAAACUCAAAGGAAUUGACGGGG